rnacentral:rRNA from 1 species
GGUGUAGGCGGACUUAUAAGUCAGAUGUGAAAUCCCAGGGCUCAACCCUGGAAGUGCAUUUGAUACUGCAAGUCUUGAGUGUGGUAGAGGUUACUGGAAUUGUUGGUGUAGUGGUGAAAUACGUAGAUAUCAACAGGAAUACCGGAGGCGAAGGCGAGUAACUGGGCCAACACUGACGCUGAGACCCGAAAGCGUGGGGAUCAAACA